rnacentral:lncRNA from 1 species
GUCAGAACCUUCCUGUGUGCAUAUCUGGAUACACGGCAGUGUCACUCCACAUCGUGCACAACCACAAGAAUGGGAAGCCACACUCCGGGUGUGACAUGUCCUUUAUAUACACUCUACUGUCGUAUGUACCUAAAAAGCACAAAUUAAAUGUUUUAAAACAGAAGAAUUCCCACAGUACCAACACACUCCUUUGACCCCUGUGUGCCAGCCUGGUCCCCCACCUCCUCCCCCUGCUGCGGCAUCACCUUUGCUAAGAGAACCCGUCGUGUUCACGGAGGGAGGCCAUGUCCUUCCGGGAAAUGGCGCACCCCGGAUCUGGCCAUUCCUGGCUGUUCCCUCCUCUUGCCUGAGGAGUGCUGAUGGGUGGGCCUGACCCGGGGGCAAGAGAAAGAGGGCUAUCUUGGGGGAGUUCAAACUGUCCCCUCAUUCCCAAAGAGACACUCAGGAAAAAAAGAAGCCAAAUGGUAUCCCUGGGUCGUGGCCCUAGAGGUGAGGGUGUGAGGAGAGGCUGGAGCGGCCAGCACCUGGGACAGAGGCGCCCGGUGAUAGGAGGUGGUGGCUGUUGUGCCCGUUGUGGCUUAACUGUCCUCAGCGGUCCCCUGCAGGUUCCCUUCCCCAAGAGUGGCAGGCAGUAGGAGCUGGUCCUGGGAGUCCACCCCACCUCCCGCCCUGGGAACCCACAGGGCUCCUCGUGCCCUCCCUGCCCUCCGCGGGAGUGACCGGACCCUCUCCCAGGGC